CGGAACGUGCCCGAUCGUGGGGGAUAGCUCGGCGAAAGCCGGAUUAAUACCGCAUACGAUCUACGGAUGAAAGCAGGGGACCGCAAGGCCUUGCGCGAACGGAGCGGCCGAUGGCAGAUUAGGUAGUUGGUGGGGUAAAGGCUCACCAAGCCGACGAUCUGUAGCUGGUCUGAGAGGGCGACCAGCCACACUGGGACUGAGACACGGCCCAGACUCCUACGGGAGGCAGCAGUGGGGAAUUUUGGACAAUGGGCGAAAGCCUGAUCCAGCAAUGCCGCGUGCAGGAUGAAGGCCUUCGGGUUGUAAACUGCUUUUGUACGGAACGAAAAGGCUCGGGUUAAUACCCUGGGCUCAUGACGGUACCGUAAGAAUAAGCACCGGCUAACUACGUGCCAGCAGCCGCGGUAAUACGUAGGGUGCGAGCGUUAAUCGGAAUUACUGGGCGUAAAGCGUGCGCAGGCGGUGAUGUAAGACAGUUGUGAAAUCCCCGGGCUCAACCUGGGAACUGCAUCUGUGACUGCAUCGCUGGAGUGCGGCAGAGGGGGAUGGAAUUCCGCGU
rnacentral:rRNA from 1 species